UACGGGGGGGGCAAGCGUUGUUCGGAAUUACUGGGCGUAAAGGGCGCGUAGGCGGUUUGCUAAAUCGAAUGUGAAAACUCUGGGCUUAACCCAGAGCCUGCAUUCGAUACUGGCAGGCUAGAGUUCUGGAGGGGAUAGCGGAAUUCCUGGUGUAGCGGUGAAAUGCGUAGAUAUCAGGAGGAACACCGGUGGCGAAGGCGGCUAUCUGGACAGAGUCUGACGCUGAGGCGCGAAAGCUAGGGGAGCAAACAGG
rnacentral:rRNA from 1 species